UACGGAGGGGGCUAGCGUUGUUCGGAAUUACUGGGCGUAAAGCGCACGUAGGCGGCUUUGUAAGUUAGAGGUGAAAGCCCGGGGCUCAACUCCGGAAUUGCCUUUAAGACUGCAUCGCUAGAAUUGUGGAGAGGUAAGUGGAAUUCCGAGUGUAGAGGUGAAAUUCGUAGAUAUUCGGAAGAACACCAGUGGCGAAGGCGACUUUCUGGUCUGUAACUGACGCUGAGGCGCGAAAGCGUGGGGAGCAAACAGG
rnacentral:rRNA from 1 species